rnacentral:rRNA from 1 species
UACGUAGGGUGCAAGCGUUGUCCGGAAUUAUUGGGCGUAAGAGCUCGUAGGCGGUCUGUCGCGUCGGCUGUGAAAACCUGGGGCUUAACUCCGGGCCUGCAGCCGAUACGGGCAGACUAGAGUUCGGCAGGGGAGACUGGAAUUCCUGGUGUAGCGGUGAAAUGCGCAGAUAUCAGGAGGAACACCGGUGGCGAAGGCGGGUCUCUGGGCCGAUACUGACGCUGAGGAGCGAAAGCGUGGGGAGCGAACAGG